UCAGUAACAUGGGUUCGAACCUCG
rnacentral:miRNA from 1 species